GACGAACGCUGGCGGCGUGCCUAAUACAUGCAAGUCGAGCGGACUUCUUCCUUCGGGGAGAGGUUAGCGGCGGACGGGUGAGUAACACGUAGGCAACCUGCCCACAAGACUGGGAUAACGUUCGGAAACGAACGCUAAUACCGGAUAAGAAGUUUUCUCGCAUGAGGGAACUCGGAAAGACGGCGCAAGCUGUCACUUGCGGAUGGGCCUGCGGCGCAUUAGCUAGUUGGUGGGGUAACGGCUCACCAAGGCGACGAUGCGUAGCCGACCUGAGAGGGUGAUCGGCCACACUGGGACUGAGACACGGCCCAGACUCCUACGGGAGGCAGCAGUAGGGAAUCUUCGGCAAUGGACGAAAGUCUGACCGAGCAACGCCGCGUGAGUGAUGAAGGGUUUCGGCUCGUAAAACUCUGUUGCCAAGGAAGAACACUUGCGGGAGUAACUGCCCGUGAGU
rnacentral:rRNA from 1 species